CGCUAGCGGCAGGCUUAAUACAUGCAAGUCGAGGGGCAGCAGGGAUAGCAAUAUUCGCUGGCGACCGGCGCACGGGUGCGUAACACGUAUACAAUCUGCCUUUUACUGAGGAAUAGCCCCUCGAAAGAGGGAUUAAUAUCUCAUAAAAUAGUGAGUAGGCAUCUACUUACUAUCAAAGCUCAGGCGGAUAGGGAUGAGCAUGCGGCUGAUUAGCUAGUUGGUGAGGUAAUGGCUCACCAAGGCUACGAUCUGUAGCUGGUCUGAGAGGACGACCAGCCACACUGGAACUGAGACACGGUCCAGACUCCUACGGGAGGCAGCAGUGGGGAAUUUUGGACAAUGGGCGAAAGCCUGAUCCAGCCAUUCCGCGUGCAGGAUGAAGGCCCUCGGGUUGUAAACUGCUUUUGUACGGAACGAAAAGGUUUGGCCUAAUAAGCUGAGCUCAUGACGGUACCGUAAGAAUAAGCACCGGCUAACUACGUG
rnacentral:rRNA from 1 species